UACGAAGGGGGCUAGCGUUGCUCGGAAUCACUGGGCGUAAAGGGUGCGUAGGCGGGUCUUUAAGUCAGGGGUGAAAUCCUGGAGCUCAACUCCAGAACUGCCUUUGAUACUGAGGAUCUUGAGUCCGGGAGAGGUGAGUGGAACUGCGAGUGUAGAGGUGAAAUUCGUAGAUAUUCGCAAGAACACCAGUGGCGAAGGCGGCUCACUGGCCCGGUACUGACGCUGAUGCGCGAAAGCGUGGGGAGCAAACGGG
rnacentral:rRNA from 1 species